GAUGAAGAACGCAGCGAAAUGCGAUACGUAAUGUGAAUUGCAGAAUUCAGUGAAUCAUCGAAUCUUUGAACGCAUAUUGCGCUCUUUGGUAUUCCGAAGAGCAUGCUUGUUUGAGUAUCAGUAAACACCUCAAAGCUUUUGGAUUUUUUAAUCGAAAAGCUUUGGACUUGAGCAAUCCCGACACCAAUCUUUUUGAGAUCGGUGGCGGGUUGCUUGAAAUGCAGGUGCAGCUGGACAUUCUCCUGAGCUAAAAGCAUAUUCAUUUAGUCCCGUCAAACGGAUUAUUACUUUUGCUGCAGCUAACAUAAAGGGAGUUUGACCGUAUUGGCUGACUGAUGCAGGAUUUCACAAGGGUCGGCAACGAUUCUUGUUAAACUCGAUCUCAAAUCAAGUAAGACUACCCGCUGAACUUAAGCAUAUCAAUAAGCGGAGGA
rnacentral:misc_RNA from 1 species